rnacentral:tRNA from 1 species
GCGGAUAUGGUCAAAUGGUAAAAUUUCUCUUUGCCAAGGAGAAGACGUGGGUUCGAUUCCCGCUAUCCGCC